GGUCCGCUGGCUCAAUGGCAGAGCGUCUGACUACGAUUAAUCGUCUCAAGACGAUUAGGUAAAUCAGGAGGUUCCAGGUUCGACCCCUGGGUGGAUCG
rfam:Chaetomium globosum CBS 148.51 scaffold_6 genomic scaffold, whole genome shotgun sequence.